UACGUAGGGUGCAAGCGUUUAAUCGGAAUUACUGGGCGUAAAGCGUGCGCAGGCGGUUCUAUAAGACAGAUGUGAAAUCCCCGGGCUCAACCUGGGAACUGCAUUUGUGACUGUAGAGCUGGAGUGCGGCAGAGGGGGAUGGAAUUCCGCGUGUAGCGGUGAAAUGCGUAGAUAUCGGAAGGAACACCAGUGGCGAAAGCGACUUCCUGGUCGAAUACUGACGUUCAUGUGCGAAAGCGUGGGGAGCAAACAGG
rnacentral:rRNA from 1 species